UACGUAGGGUGCAAGCGUUGUCCGGAAUUAUUGGGUCGGUAAAGAGCUCGGUAGGCGGUCUGUCACGUCGGCUGUGAAAACCCGUGGCUCAACCAUGUGGUCUGCAGUCGAUACGGGCAGGCUAGAAUUCGGUAGGGGAGACUGGAAUUCCUGGUGUAGCGGUGAAAUGCGCAGAUAUCAGGAGGAACACCAGUGGCGAAGGCGGCGAUCUGGGAAGAUACUGACGCUGGAGGUGCGAAAGCCGUGGGGAGCAAACAGG
rnacentral:rRNA from 1 species